rnacentral:rRNA from 1 species
UACGGAGGAUCCGAGCGUUAUCCGGAUUUAUUGGGUUUAAAGGGUGCUCAGGCGGGCCAUUAAGUCGGCGGUGAAAUUUUGCGGCUCAACCGUAAAAGUGUCUUCGAUACUGGUGGUCUUGAGUGUGGAUGAGGUAGGCGGAAUUUGUGGUGUAGCGGUGAAAUGCAUAGAUAUCACACAGAAUAUCGAUUGCGAAGGCAGCUCACAAAGCCAAGAUUGACGCUGAGGCACGAAAGUGUGGGGAUCAAACAGGAUUAGA